CAAUAGCGUAUAUUAACGUUGUUGCAGUUAAAAAGCUCGUAGUUGGAUUUCUGGAGGGAGCGUCGGCCCGUAUUUACGAGUGCGUGACGUCUCUGUCCAUCCUUGCGGGAAGGCACGGCAUCGAUUUGUUGUGUCGGAUCGCAUCAUUUACUGUGAAAAAAUUAGAGUGUUCAAAGCAGGCUUUCGCUUGAAUACAUUAGCAUGGAAUAAUAAGAUAGGACUUUGGUGCUAUUUUGUUGGUUGAGCCUAAAGUAAUGAUUAAUAGGGAUAGUUGGGGGCACCUGUAUUGCGUUGUCAGAGGUGAAAUUCUUGGAUUUACGCAAGACAAACAGCUGCGAAAGCGUCUGCCAAGGAUGUUUUCAUUAA
rnacentral:rRNA from 1 species